AUACGGAGGGAGCGAGCGUUAAUCGGAAUUACUGGGCGUAAAGCGCGCGUAGGUGGCUAUGUAAGUCGGAUGUGAAAGCCCUGGGCUCAACCUGGGAAUUGCAUUCGAUACUGGUCGACUAGAGUACAGUAGAGGCAAGUGGAAUUUCCUGUGUAGCGGUGAAAUGCGUAGAUAUAGGAAGGAACAUCAGUGGCGAAGGCGACUUGCUGGACUGAUACUGACGCUGAGGAGCGAAAGCGUGGGGAGCAAACGGGAUUAGAAACCCCAGUAGUCC
rnacentral:rRNA from 1 species